AUGGAUUCCUUUUUCAUUGUUUCUUACUUGCAGGUGAUGAUCUUGCUGCAACUUGCUGCCUGGGUUUACAGUGAGCUAGCUGCUGCAGUCCCGCUCGUUUCUUUAGAGGACACAGAUGACAGAAAUGCCGCCAUGGGAUCAGUGAAUUACCAUUUGGAUCUCACUGAACCCCUAACCUCUUGGUCGCCUGUGGUUUCGUUCUGUCUGCGGCGAUGGAUUGCUACCUCUGCUCCGUUUCUGUGUCGAGGAAAUGCACGAGUUGUCAAUCAGAAAGAAGUUCAAUUCUUCAAGCAAGAACUCCAGACUUGGCUUUCAAAUAACUACAUUGUGAUGAUGAAACAUGGUCAGUCCGCACCAUCGCGUCUGCAAGAUCACCUUCCAGUUUGCACCAUUAAUAUGCGUACACCAUGA
rnacentral:rRNA from 1 species